AUUGAACGCUGGCGGCAGGCCUAACACAUGCAAGUCGAGCGGAGCGGCGGACGGGUGCGUAAUGCUUAGGACUCUGCAUGUUCGUGGGGGAUAACGUUCAGAAACGGGCACUACUACCGCAUACUCUCAGCUGAGCCUAUGUCGGAUUAGCUAGUUGGUGGGGUAAAGGCCUACCAAGGCGACGAUCAGUAACUGUUCUGAGAGGAUGAUCAGUCACACUGGAACUGAGACACGGUCCAGACUCCUAAGGGAGGCAGCAGUGGGGAAUAUUGGACAAUGGGCGAAAGCCUGAUCCAGCCAUGCCGCGUGUGUGAAGAAGGUCGUCGGAUUGUAAAGUACUUUAAGUUGUGAGGCGUUACCAACAGAAUAAGCACCGGCUAACUCCGUGCCAGCAGCCGCGGUAAUAC
rnacentral:rRNA from 1 species